CAGGAUAUCUCGUUGGAAUCUGAAUUUUUAUUUGAAAUCAUAUAUAAAAUCUUCAAAGUUGGCAUCGUGGUCUUAUUGAUUUCAAAAAAAUAUUAAAAAUAGUAUAAAUUAUGUGCAAAUGUUAUCUAAUUGCCAACAAUAUCAAUAUUUUUCAUGUCAACUACCGCAUCAUAUCUUACAGAGAUCUUAGGGGGCAUUUAGUGACUUAACUAGGAUCACUAUGGUGAUCUAAGAUCACCGAUGAUCCAAAUCUUGAGGUGAUCUAAUAUCUAGUGAUC
rnacentral:lncRNA from 1 species